rnacentral:lncRNA from 1 species
UCCCCCUGACGUCCGCGCACAACCAUCCUUGGAUAUGUCGGCAUUUAAUGCGCGCAUGCCGGCCUUGCCGGAACACUUAGGACGGUGGUUGUCAUGGAGCAUUCGGUGAUGGCGCAUAUCUCUGGCGCCAUUGCUGCCUCCGGGCUAACUCCGGUUCUUCUUGAAACAGGUCUUCAUCGCCGCUGCCGUGGCCCUUACUGCCCC